AUUUUUGCUGCCCGGACGCGGAGCGAGAGGCUGAGAGAGUCGGCGAUACUAUCCGCUUCCAUCCGUCGCGCAGACCCUGCCGGAGCCGCUGCCGCUAUGGAUGAUCGAGAGGAUCUGGUGUACCAGGCGAAGCUGGCCGAGCAGGCUGAGCGAUACGACGGUGAGUUGGGGGGGCAACGGGGGGCUGGAAUUCUCGGACCCUCUGCCGCCGCCCACAGAGGCCGGGAACAGGAGACAAAAUGGCGGCAUCGUCUGCGAGCUUGGCCCGGGGGCUUGGGUUCGGGAAGCAGGAAAUGGCCUGGGAGCUCCCGGGGCGAUGGGAGGCUCUAUGCCCUGGAAUGUGACCCCUUCGCCGUCCUUAGCUGCAAACAACUCGCGGGCCGGGAGGCCGGGGCGACAGGGUGGAGGAGUUGGUUGUAAAAUGGCGGCUGGGGGAGGGCGAGUCCCGGGGCGGGGGAGGGGGAGGAGAUGGCGGGUGCUGUCUCCGAACGAGCCACCCUCAUGGGAGCUUCUGGGACGGCCUUGGGAUGUGGAGAACAAUUGGGUGGGGUGACGGGGGAAGCAGCACCCGCCACAUGGGAGAGAGCGAAGACCGGGAGCUGUAGCGCGGGCGCCUUUCAGGGAAAUAUGGCGGGUGGGGGCGGUGGCUUUUCCCCGGAGGCCCCGUGUGGGGCGGCGGCCGUGGAGUCUCACAAAGGAGAACCUUUGAGAGCGAUGGGCUUCCUCAGGCCUGAGGUGGGGGACAGUCGUGGAUGAUGGUGGGGGGAGAGGGGUGAGUGGGAAUCACUGCAGUUCGUCUUCGGGCGGUGGCAGGCUCCCAUGCUGCGAUCGGGUUUCUUUCCCGUAGGCCGGCACCUCGUAGUGAGGGGUUUUGGGGCUUCUCCUCGUCGUCGUCUUCUGGGGAGGCCCAGAAAAUCCUCACUCCCUCCCUUUCCUCAGACUUAAAACAGGAGACCUCGAAGUUCCUGUAACCUUUCUCUGGCUCCAUCACCCGUGGGUUCUGAUGGAUAGAACCAGGAGGCCACGACUCUGAGAGUUCGAGCCUUUGUAGAGCCCGAGCCUCCGUCCACCCGUUUGUAAAAACGAUGACUUUACAGUUUGUGCGCACCGUGAUGACAAAUGGAAAGACCUGUUGAAAUAAAGUUAUUUCCAAUAGUAUUCAGUAACUGUAUUUUGGUUGACUCUGCAGGCUCGGAAUGCUGGUCUGUACUUCCCGGGGGAUCUUAACCUAGUCCAGGCGCUCGGCUGAGGCUGGGGUUUUUGAGUUAAGAAGGUUGAAGAUCCUGUUGCUUUCUUUUUUUCCAUUUUAAAUAAAUGGGUUUAUGUAGAAAUUUUAGUAGGUCCUCUUUGUUCGUUGUUCUUUUGCCCCUAAU
rnacentral:sRNA from 1 species